rnacentral:lncRNA from 1 species
GAGGACUGUGAAGCAAUCGGGGCGAGGCCGGGUGUCUGUUCAACUCUCCCGCGUAUCGUCUGUUUCUUCGGCGGCGGACAGUGUUCUGUAAUGUGUCUCCCGUUGCCCGAGCUAAAGGUUUUCCUCGACGGAGUCUUUAGAAUACCGUGGUAGAGGCAGUCUCCACACCACUGUGCUCGAACAGCUCUAUGAAGAGGCCUAUGUGGAGAGGAGAAAAAGCCUCCACCAACAGCCAGCACCAACUUGCCAGCCAUAUAUGAACUCUCGCUAUGUUGCCUCGGCUGGUCUCAAACUCCUGGGCUCAAGUGAUCCUCCCACUUCGGCCUCCCAAAAUGGCGUCUUGCUCUGUCACCCAGGCUGGGGUGCAGUGGUGUGAUCUCAGCUCACUGCAACCUCUGCCUCCUGGGUUCAAGCAAUUCUUCUGCCUCAGCCUCCCAAAGAGCUGUGAUUACAGACGUGUGCCACAAUACCCGGCUAAGUUUUGUAUUUUUAUUAUUAUUUUAUUUAUGUGUUUAUUUAUUUAUUUAUUUAUUUAUUUUGAGAUGGAGUCUUGCUGUGUCGCCCAGGGUGGAGUGCAGUGGUGCGAUCUCUGCUCGCUGCAGCCUCUGCCCCCCAGGCGAUUCUCCUGCCUCAGCCUCCCGAGUAGCUGGGAUUACAGGUGCCCGCCACCAUACCCGGCUAAUUUUUGUAUUUUUAGUAAAGACAGGGUUUUGCCAUGUUGGCCAGGCUGAUCUCGAACUCCUGACCUCAAGUGAUCUGUCUGCCUUGGCCUCCCAAGGCAGGGAGCCUGCUGGGAUUACAGGCAUGAGCCACCACGCCCAGUCAAAAUGUUUUAAAUGUUUCUAUACCACCAUCUGUGUCAAAGAGCAAAUGGUCUCUCUGCAGCUGGAACAACAAAAACUCAAAUGGUCCACACAGUGGUUCAUACCUAUAAGUCACCAAACCUAAACUAAGUUGUUAUCUGACCUUCUGGAAAUGAGAAGAGAUAGAUAACUGCCAGUUUCCCAAACAGGCCAGUUUAAAUCUUCCUGUAAGCAUGAUAAGGAAGUUCCCUCUGAUUUAAUCCUUACACACGAAAAAGUAGCCUUAAAUAACCUGAUAUUAACUCAUCAGUUUUAUUUUUAUUUAUUUAUUUUUUUUUGAGACAAUGUCUUGCUCUGUCACCCAGGCUGGAGUGCAGUGGCACAAUCUCGGCUCACUGCAAUCUCCGCCUCCCGGGUUCACGCCAUUCUCCUGCCUCAGCCUCCCGAGUAGCUGGGACUACAGGUGCCUGCCACCACACCCGGCUAAUUUUUGUAUUCUUAGUAGAGAUGGGGUUUCACCGUGUUAGCCAGGAUGGUCUCGAUCUCCUGACCUUGUGAUCCACCCCCCUCGGCCUCCCAAAGUGCUGGGAUUACAGGUGUGAGCCACCGCGCCUGGCCACUCAUCAGUUAUUUUUCUAUCAUUUUGUCUUUCUGUCCCCACUUUACAAGAAAAGUGACUUUGAAAGGACUAAUAACAUUAUUCGUUUUUUGCUUCUGCUUUCUUCAGCCCUUCUCUGUCUGUAAAGCCAGCUUCUUUUGCACAGCUCACUGCAACACUUAUUUUUAUUUGUAUUUUUAUUUUUUGAGACAAUGUCUCACUCUGUCACCCGGGCUGGAGAGUGGAGAGUACUAAUGCAGUCUUGGCCCACUGCACCUUCACCCUCCUCAACUCAAGCAAUCUUCCUGCCUCAACUUCCCUGGCAGCCAGGACUACAGGCUUGCACCACUAUACCCAGCUAAUUUUUAAAAUUUUUUUUUUUGUAGAGACAGGGUCUUGCUAUGUGGGCCAGACUGGUCUCAAACUCCUGGCCUCAAGGGAUCCUUCUUCCUUGGCCUGCCAAAGUGCUGGGAUAGAAUAAGUGUGCCGGGGCCACCAUGCCCAGGCCACCACACCUGGCCCACUUAUUCUAUUUUAUGGAAUGAAGUGUUACCCAAUUCUGGCUUUUUUUGAGACAGGGUCGUGCACCGUUGCUCAGGCGGGAAUGCAGUGGCACGAUCUUGGAACACUCCAACCUCCACCUCCAAGGCUCAAGCCAUCUUCCCACCUCAGCCUCCCGAGUAGCUGGGGCCACAGGCGUGUGCCACCACAUCCAGCUAAUUUUUGUAUUUUUUGUAGAGAUGGGGUUUUGCCAUGUUGCCCAGGCUGGUUUGGUCUCAAACUCCUGGUCUCAAGCCAUCCACCCACCUUGGUCUCCCAAAGUGCUGGGAUUACAGAUGUGAACCAACAUGUCCAGCCUUUUUUUUUUUUUGAGACAAAUUCUGGCUCUGUCACCCAGACUGGAGUGCAGUGGUGCCAUCUUGGCUCACUGCAACCUCCACCUCCGAGGCUCAAGCAAUUCUCUCACCCCAGCCUCCUGAGUAGCUAGGACCACAGGUGCUCACCACCACGCCUGGUUAACUUUUGUGUUUUUUGUAGAGAUGGGGUUUUGCCAUGUUUCCUAUGCUGGUCUGGAACUCAUGAACUCAACAGAUUGUCCCACCUCAGCCUCUCAAAGUGCUGGGAUUACAGCUCAAAGCACCUGUCAUAAAAAUAUUAACUUGUAAUAAAAGUGUUUAGUAACACUAAUAUGUGAUGGCAAUUUCAGGAAAGUCAAUGUUCUGAGCAAGAAGAACAAGGAACAGAAGGUAUAAUGAUAACAGAUGAGAGAGGAAAAAGCAGACUCAAUCAACUCCUACUUUUCCAUCAUUUUUCCGUUACAGAGAAUUAUCCUCAAAUUAGAAGGAGUAGGACCUACAUGGUAAAGAAAAAAUUUACGUGCAAGGCAGAUGAGGAAGUAAGAGAGCAUCCAGCCCCUUCACACAACUUCAUUCUCUGUCUUACCGAAAGAAUGUGAAAUGUGGUGGUAGCUUUACUGGGGACAGGAGAGGUGCCAGAAGUUUGAAGAUGGACUAAUCUCCUUGUUUUCUAAAAGAAGAACCUAUAAGUCUCUGAGCACAUUUUUCUUUGGCAAAAUUCUGGAAUGGAUAAUUAGACAAAUGGUUUGUGAAUCUUUAGAAAAGUGGCAAAAACAAGGCACAGCAUAAAUUCACUAAAAAAUAAGUGGACCUAAA